rnacentral:hammerhead_ribozyme from 1 species
GUACUGAUGAAGAGUCCACGACUAGGACGAAACAGGCUGCUGUCCAGUAC